GAUGAACGCUAGCUACAGGCUUAACACAUGCAAGUCGAGGGACCGGCGCACGGGUGAGUAACACGUAUCCAACCUGCCCUUUACGCGGGGAUAGCCUUUCGAAAGAAAGAUUAAUACCCGAUGUAAAGGAUGGGGAUGCGUUCCAUUAGGUUGUUGGUGAGGUAACGGCUAACCAUGCCUUCGAUGGAUAGGGGUUCUGAGAGGAAGGCCCCCCACAUUGGAACUGAGACACGGUCCAAACUCCUACGGGCGGCAGCAGGGAGGAAUAUUGGUCAAUGUGCGUUAGCCUGAACCAGCCAAGUAGCGUGAAGGAUUAAGGCUUAUGGGUCGUAAACUUCUUGUAUAUAAGAAUAUGUAUUAUAUGAAUAAGGAUCGGCUAACUCCGUGCCAGCCGCCGCGGUAAUAC
rnacentral:rRNA from 1 species